GAGAAUAAUGAAAACUCCCUAAACGUGCCCGAUCUCGUCUGGAAGCUAAGCAGGGUCGGGCCUGGUUAGUACUUGGAUGGGAGAAUAAUGAAAACAGUAAGGUAUCAUCUUGC
rnacentral:rRNA from 1 species